rnacentral:rRNA from 1 species
CCUACGGGAGGCAGCAGUGAGGAAUAUUGGUCAAUGGACGAGAGUCUGAACCAGCCAAGUAGCGUGAAGGAUGACUGCCCUAUGGGUUGUAAACUUCUUUUAUAUGGGAAUAAAACGUUCCACGUGUGGGAUUUUGUAUGUACCAUAUGAAUAAGGAUCGGCUAACUCCGUGCCAGCAGCCGCGGUAAUACGGAGGAUCCGAGCGUUACCCGGAUUUAUUGGGUUUAAAGGGAGCGUAGGUGGAUUGUUAAGUCAGUUGUGAAAGUUUGCGGCUCAACCGUAAAAUUGCAGUUGAAACUGGCAGUCUUGAGUACAGUAGAGGUGGGCGGAAUUCGUGGUGUAGCGGUGAAAUGCUUAGAUAUCACGAAGAACUCCGAUUGCGAAGGCAGUUCACUGGACUGCAACUGACACUGAGGCUCGAAAGUGUGGGUAUCAAACAGGAUUAGAUACCCCAGUAGUC